UUCGCAAUGCCCGAAAGGGUGACGAAGCGACGCCGCGUGGGUGAGGAAGGCCUACGGGUUGUAAAGCCCUGUCAGGAGUUAAGAAAUGUGGACUCGCUAAUAUCGGGUCUAUUUGACAAAGGCUCCAAAGGAAGCCACGGCUAACUCUGUGCCAGCAGCCGCGGUAAUACAGAGGUGGCAAGCGUUGUUCGGAAUUAUUGGGCGUAAAGAGCACGUAGGUGGGUUUGUAAGUCAGGUGUGAAAGCCUUCUGUUCAAAGGAAGAACGGCAUCUGAAACUGCAGAUCUUGAGUGUAGGAGGGGAGAGUGGAACUUCUGGUGGAGCGGUGAAAUGCGUAGAUAUCAGAAGGAACGUCGGCGGCGAAAGCGACUCUCUGGCCUAUUACUGACACUGAGUGUGCGAAAGUUAGGGGAGCAAACGGGAUUAGAUACCCCGGUAGUCCUAACUGUAAACGAUGGGCACUAAGUAGAGGGGUUUU
rnacentral:rRNA from 1 species